AGACAGAACUCCAGAUGACUAGACAUCAUUGCUAUGUGAAGACUGCUGAAGAGAAAUUCCAACUGUUGCCUGCAGAGUCCACAUGGUGGUUUUCAUCACGAGCCGAUCAACAUCCAAAUUCAGCAGGGAUGCAGAGAUGACAUUCAGGAUUAUGAGCUGAUGUGGAGAAAUCUACAGAUGACUCACCAAUGGAUCCUCUGCAGUGAAUGGGUG